CUCAAAGCAGGGCCUAUGGACCUUCCUUCCACAUACAGUAUUUGCUGAAUAGUUAUUUUUAACUGUGGCGUGCAGGCUGCUGGAGGUGGGAUCCGAAGCCAAGUCUAACAUAGGGCCAAAGGGUUAGGUGACACCAGCCUCAGCUACAAUGGGUGGCCCGUGGGGAUGAGGCGGGGCUGUUCUGCCACGCAGCAGCUCAGCCGCCACCUGUCGACCAAGAGCCCGCGCCCGGGUCUCCAGCUGGGAGCGAGUCACAUGGGCCCCAGCGUCUAGCCCAGAUCAGGAUCCUCGCAGACGCCAACGCGGGCAAAACAGGAAGGGUGAAAAAUGUGUCUCCACAGAAGACCUGAGAUAUGUCAUUUUUCCUUUCCCUGUAACAAGGUAACAAUCUCCCACACUGAGUUUGAGGAAGGAUUAAGAAGCUUAAUAUCUAAAGAUGUUUAACAACUGAGGUUUGGAGACCUACAAUUAGAGAGACAGAUGGUCUAAGAAGACAAACAGUAUUUUGUCCCUAGUUCUCCAAGGUCAAUGAGGACCCAUGACGGAAGAGAACCUCUGCUGCAUCAUUCUAUAUUAAGUGAGUCCCUAGUCUUCUGACCAAGAAGACUGUGAGACCACUGAGGAAACUGAUGAUCAUUGGUGUGUGGUCUGCCUAAGGAGAGUCACCAGGAGCAAAAAUCUCCCAAGCGUUCACAGACUCAUCCAAACAGCUGACACUGAUGGAAGAACUAAGAGGUGUCAUAGCUGGUUCCAAGAUGUCACCAUGCAUCUGCUGUGCCCCAUAGCUGGCAACCGAAACAUGACUUCUGAGAACAUACUGUUGGGGGCUAAAUUUGGUGAGUUUGGGGCUGUGGCCGGGGUAUUCUUGUAUACCCUACUGACUCAUUUCUCUU
rnacentral:lncRNA from 1 species